rnacentral:misc_RNA from 1 species
AAAAAAAAAAAACUCUUCUUUAUCGUUUGGUAUUUGUUUUGGCUUUUGGGUUUUUGUCGCUGUGUGUGUUUGUGUUGUUUCACUGAUUCAUUUUCUCGCUUCCUUUCUCUUUUCUUGCUUCGUUCUCUGCUUCUGCUGCAGAGCUGCUUUGGAAUAGUAUUGUACUAGUCGAGUUCUUUUUUGCAGAGAUGGAUACCUUGGUUUUCUGCUUGCUCAGGAAUCGAGGUUGAGGUCCUUCCCUUUUCUGUGAGGUCCUCCACGUUUCUUUUCUAUCUUCUAGCCUGGCUGCAAUACUCUUUUUGCGUUACACGUUCAAUCCUUCAGACACAGAGCGAGAGAGAGACAGAAAGAGAGGGAGGGAGGGAGGUAAUAUGUGGGAAUCGAUCUGUUUAACGUUGGCGGCCGCCGCAGGCAAUAACAUCGGCAAGGUUCUUCAGAAAAAGGGAGCCAUCAUUCUGCCUCCUCUUUCUUUCAAACUCAAGGUGAUUAGGGCAUAUGCUGUUAAUAAAGCUUGGGUCAUAGGUUUCCUAAUGGAUAUAAGUGGAGCAAUGUUAAUGUUGAGGGCAUUAUCUCAAGCUCCUGUAUCUGUCAUCCAACCAGUUUCUGGAUGUGGUCUUGCCAUUCUUUCUGUCUUCUCCCAUUUUUAUCUAAAAGAAGUCAUGAAUGUCAUUGAUUGGAUUGGAAUCACUCUGGCAGGUAUUGGUACCAUAGGAGUUGGUGCUGGAGGUGACGAGCAGGAGGCUUCUUCCAUAUCUGUUUUCCAGUUACCGUGGCUGGCAUUUAUUGUUGCCAUCUUGUUUGUAGUCCUUAACGGAUGGCUUCGUGUCUGCAAAUGUCAACGAAGAGAACAGGAGACGGUAAUUGCUGUUUGUUCUGUUGAUACUUUGUAAGGUUACAUGUUUUUGUAUCUUCAACUCCUCCCUUGCAAUCAUUGACAGUAUCUGUGAUGCAGAUGGAAUAUGAAGUUGUUGAAGAAAUUAUAUAUGGCUUGGAAUCUGGCAUUUUGUUUGGGUAAAGUUCCACCAACUUCAUAUCGAUAAUUUCUUGUUCAGAGUUGACUUUUCUAUUAUGUAGCAAAAUUCUAAAAAGCCAAAAUGCAUGAAUAGAAUCCAUAGAAUCAAUUAUCAAAUGGCAAUAUAAUGUUUUCUGUGGCAAGUUUAAGAAAUGGGACUUCUUGAUUUGCCGGAUGUAAAUAAUGUGUUAGAGCUUAAAUUAUAUCAUUUUAAUGAAUUUCACUUAAUUUUACGCCAAUAAUUAGAGAUAUUUGUUAUAAAAAAGGGUUUUUCUUGCUUGUGUAUCAUUUUCAUUUAUAACAUUUCUAAACAGAAUUGAUCAUAUUCAAUACAGAGAUCAAUGUAUGUGGCAAAAGCACAUAUCAACUUCUUUUCCUCCUUCAAAGAAACUAUGUUUUGAUGAUUUAUGCUGACAUUGUUUAUUCUGGAAUGCAAUUCAACAAACAGUGAAAUUACAUAUUAAUCCUUUAAAAGAAAUAUGAAAUGCUACUGGAAGUGAACUUGUAUCUUGAAGCACGGUGGCACUAAAGCCCACAUGACAUGCUUCAAGAGCAAUUGGCCACAAGAUUGUUUGAUAUUUUUUAGAACAUUCAUUUUCUAGCGUUAUUUUUUAAAUGCAUAAUGGCACUGGAAUUUAUUUGAGAAUUUGAACUGAAUCUUAUGAUGUGAAUCAUUUUACUUGAUUCUCAAUUUGUAGAUAUAAAAUUUUGAUUCAGAAUUCAAAACUUGAUUUCUCUUCUGUGGAGCUAGGCUUAAGAUCUUGGAUGUAAAGUCAAUCUAUCCAAUUGCAGGAUGGCCUCGGUGAUAUCAAAGAUGGGAUUUGUUUUCUUGGAGCAGGGCUUCUCAAGGAUGUUGGUUCCUAUAUGCAUCUCAAUCAGUAUAUGCUGUAGUGCAACAGGAUUUUAUUACCAGACUCUUGGUCUAAAGCAUGGAAGGGCAAUUGUGGUGUCUACAUGUGCUGCUGUAGCAUCAAUAGUGACUGGUGUACUUUCUGGAAUGCUUGCUUUGGGAGAACGAUUGCCUUCAGCACCAGCUGCUCGACUUUCACUUCUGCUGGGAUGGUAACUCUAUAGCACAACUUGUAUUUUUAUUGAUUUACUAUCUGUUCUUAUAGAUGAAAGCAUCUUAAAGCAUAUUCUGAGAGUCAUGGGUUCUUAAGGCAUACAAUCUGCUAUGUGGUCUAUCUUAUCUACUCGACUAAGCUUCAGUGUCAUGUGUUGCAUGUAUACAGUGGAAAAGGAGCUAUAUUCAAUAGAUAUAUUUUUUUUUCUGAAAAAAAAAAGAAGAAAAUAUUAUAAAGAAAAGAAGCUGGAUGGCUUUAGACAUCUGAUUUUCAGCCGUGUUUGCUGAUUUUAUCAGAAUGUCUAGUUUUGGCAUAACCUAUUCGAAAAAAUUGCUUUCUUCGAUCAUGUGGUCAGACUAGUCUAUCUUUGUUAACCCCCUUUUUACAGCAUUUGUUAUUGGAUCCGACUUGCAUGUUAACUUAUUUUUGUAGGCUACUCAUCAUAGUAGGUGUGAUUUUGCUUGUGAGUUCCACCCGGCUACUGCAGCACCUACCACGGCCAUUACGACGCUUCAUGAGAAGCAGCAUUGAUCGGAAUUUUAAUCUGAGUCGAUCAGGGUCUCUCCGGGUUAAGGAUUCAAACCCAAGUGCUGUUAUCCAGGCAGCAACAUUGCAUCAUUUGAUAUCAACUCCAGCUAAAGAGAAAGCAUGAAUAGAAAAAGUCACCAAGUUUGCUACCAAUGCUCAAGAGAUAUUAGCUUUUGUAUCGAUCAACAUGCUUUCUUGAUGCUGCAGUGUGUUGGUCUUGUUGAGCCUGGUGUGUACAGUGUACCUUAUUACAUUCUCUUUGGAGGGCAUGAAAUUUUGGAGAUCAUUCUCUCCUAUACAUAUAUUACAUCACUGAAUUCUGAAGUAGGAAUGCUCAUAUACAUUUCAAGUUACAGUCAUAUUUGUAACUUCUCAACAGGAAGAAACUUGUGUGUUUUACUACAGCAGGUCUAUAUUUAGCAUUAGAAGUUUCAUCCACAAACACCUACCACGGCCAUUACUACAGCAGGUCAACUUAUAAUACUUUUCGUUAGCCCAUUUUUUUUUCUUUUUUAU